rnacentral:rRNA from 1 species
CACUACGGAAUAGUCCCGGGAAACUGGGUUUAAUACCGUAUACGCCCUUCGGGGGAAAGAAUUUCGGUGAGGGAUCGGCCCGCGUUAGAUUAGUUAGUUGGUGGGGUAAUGGCCUACCAAGACUACGAUCUAUAGCUGGUUUGAGAGGAUGAUCAGCAACACUGGGACUGAGACACGGCCCAGACUCCUACGGGAGGCAGCAGUGGGGAAUCUUAGACAAUGGGGGCAACCCUGAUCUAGCGAUGCCGCGUGAGUGAUGAAGGCCUUAGGGUCGUAAAGCUCUUUCGCCUGUGAUGAUAAUGACAGUAGCAGGUAAAGAAACCCCGGCUAACUCCGUGCCAGCAGCCGCGGUAAUACGGAGGGGGUUAGCGUUGUUCGGAAUUACUGGGCGUAAAGCGCACGUAGGCGGAUUAGUCAGUCAGAGGUGAAAUCCCAGGGCUCAACCCUGGAACUGCCUUUGAUACUGCUAGUCUUGAGUUCGAGAGAGGUAAGUGGAAUUCCGAGUGUAGAGGUGAAAUUCGUAGAUAUUCGGAGGAACACCAGUGGCGAAGGCGGCUUACUGGCUCGAUACUGACGCUGAGGUGCGAAAGUGUGGGGAGCAAACAGGAUUAGAUACCCUGGUAGUCCACACCGUAAACGAUGAAUGCCAGUCGUCGGGUAGCAUGCUAUUCGGUGACACACCUAACGGAUUAAGCAUUCCGCCUGGGGAGUACGGUCGCA